UACGAAGGGGACUAGCGUUGUUCGGAUUUACUGGGCGUAAAGCGAGCGUAGGCGGAUCGCUAAGUCAGGGGUGAAAUGCCAAGGCUCAACCUUGGAACUGCCUUUGAUACUGACGAUCUGGAGAUUGGGAGAGGUGAGUGGAAUUCCGAGUGUAGAGGUGAAAUUCGUAGAUAUUCGGAGGAACACCAGAAGCGAAGGCGGCUCACUGGCCCAAUACUGACGCUGAGGCGCGAAAGCGUGGGGAGCAAACAGG
rnacentral:rRNA from 1 species